rnacentral:rRNA from 1 species
GCUAGCCUACAGGGCGCAGCAGUGAGGAAUAUUGGUCAAUGGCCGGAAGGCUGAACCAGCCAAGUCGCGUGAGGGACGACUGCCCUAUGGGUUGUAAACCUCUUUUAUAAGGGAAGAAUAAAUGCUACGUGUAGCAUGAUGCCUGUACCUUAUGAAUAAGCAUCGGCUAACUCCGUGCCAGCAGCCGCGGUAAUACGGAGGAUGCGAGCGUUAUCCGGAUUUAUUGGGUUUAAAGGGUGCGUAGGCGGUUUUUUAAUUUAGUGGUUAAACGUCGGGGCUUCACCUUGCUUUGCCAUUAAUGCUGU